UUGACCUCGGAUCAGGUAGGGAUACCCGCUGAACUUAAGCAUAUCAAUAAGCGGAGGAAAAGAAACCAACAGGGAUUGCCUCAGUAACGGCGAGUGAAGCGGCAACAGCUCAAAUUUGAAAUCUGACCCCCUCGGGGCCCGAGUUGUAAUUUGUAGAGGGUGUUUCGGGCGCGGCGCCGGUCUAAGUUCCUUGGAACAGGACGUCACAGAGGGUGAGAAUCC
rnacentral:rRNA from 1 species